UUCUAGGUGUGUCUUGGUAUUCCUUCCAAAUUGCUCCCAGUUAGAACUACUGCUCAGCACGUGCAUGCACGUGUGCUGAAUUCUGAUUGGACGAUUUCAAAAUCGCUAUAACUUCCUUAUAUUUGGUGGAAACGUUAUGAAAUUCAUACUGUGGGUAUAGGAUACAAAUGCCCGUUGAACGACAUCAACAAAAAUUCGGAAUCAUACACGCGUGCGCGUGUAUGCAAGUGCAACGCUUUCUUUCAUUUCUUGGUACUGAAAUGACCAUAUUGAACGUACUACAUGUAAUUAAAGGCUAAAAUAAAAUGAUUUUUUGCUAUAGAUUCACAAGGACAUCACUUUUUAAUUGGGGGAGGUUUGGGGAACAUAUGUAACGGUCCCCGUUACAAUUAGAACUAGUUUUCUUUGAUGUAAAACACUUUUCUGGCCGGACAUGACCUUCACGGAUGUUUUAAUUAAAACGUCUUGGAAUGUACUACAUGUCGUUAACAUUCACAUCGCAUGGCUGUAUCGUAUUGUUAAACACUACCAGGAAUUAACAUUACCAAGGGGGCGAGGAAUGCAGAAUUUGGUGGUUUUAAAAUAUUCGAAUUUCCCAAAAUUUGUAACUUUAGCAUAGCUUAACAUUCUCUGAAUUAGCGUUAAAAAUGUGAAAAUCAUUCUGAUCUACAUCACUUUGUUUGUUCCAACUAGAUUUGACGGCAUAAUUGUUAUUUUUUCAUCUAUUGUGACGUCAUGUAAGUCUUCAUGUGACGUAGGCUAUGGAUUUAGUAAGAAUGUGCUACACGGGCAGAUGAAAACAAGCGGUAUAGGGUCGGAAAGUCUCGUUUACUUUCACUUUCGAUUUACUACUUCCGGGCAGCUGUCGAAAAAUGUCACUUUGUUUUGCUUUGGUUAUGCUCAGAUGACAGCGUUAAAAUGAACCUACAGCCUAUAUAGAUUCCCUACUUAUGCAAAGAGAGGAAGAAGUGGAUUUAUAGAUGCAGAUGCUGUUAUAUACAUCAUUACCGUCAGAAGUAUCAAUGUGUUGGUGGCUGUUAUGAAGAGAAUGGGCCCAUUUUAACAACUUUUAGGAUGGGCGGUACAAGGGUUCAUACCAGUGACCAAUGAAGCACAGCUGUUACAAGACCAGGAAGAGUCAAAUUCAUGUGGAGUGUGCAAUUGAAUUUAAUUAAAAACAUCCAUAUUCUAAAUCAUAUACCUUCACAAUACAGACAUAUAUAUCUGUCCACUAAGAUUUUCAACUCUGUGUGACUCUUGUACAUUUGCAAAUCCUCUACUGAAGGAAAUAGCUGAUAUGAAUUUCACAAUUAAUUAAAUCUUACCUUUGGACUUAGAUACUAUAAAUGUACAACUUCUUACUCACAUUAUUCUGGAUUGUCAAGUUGUAUUAAAUGCAUUCAAGUAAAUGAUAAAGUGAACAUUUAUUUAAGGUUGCUAGUCAAAGAAAUUGUUACAAUGGUGAUUCAUGCACAUCUUCACACUGAUCAUUUGUAGCAAAAACAAAAUAAAACUAAUGGAAGACAUUUGAAUUUUCA